GAACGACAUUAUGGGUAAGUUAAUGAUGAAUCUGGGUGAACUGGUUGUCUUAACAGAGAACAAACCUUAAUGUGCCACUAUAUGCUGCUGCCACAAACAGUCCAGGCACGCCAGGAUAUUCACUCAGGAUGUCCAACACCAGUGCUCACAUUUUGGCAUGGAACAUGGACUUGCAUGAUAUGUAUCUUUGCACCUGAGCUUGAUUGAUACCAUAGACGCUUGUCCAGAGGAACGUCCCUCCCACUGUGAUGCUCCAGAAAGUGUGUCUCCUCAGAGGGUUUGGAUCGAAGCUGAGAGGGUCGGACACAGCAUGAGAAAGACAAGAAUUUAAAGAGAUAGUCCAAGCAAAAAUUCUGUCAUUUACUCACCCUCAUGUCGCUCUAAACUUAUAUGAGUUUCUUUCUACUGCUGAACACAAGGGAGGAUAUUUUGAAGAAUGCUGGUAACCAAACCGUUUCGGUUCCCAUUUACUUCAGUUAUAUAUUUUGACCAUAAAAUGGAAGUAAGUGGAAGCUGAAACUAUAUAGUUUCCAACAUUCUUCCAACAUUAUCUUCUUUUGUGUUACUCUGAAGAAAGAAACUCGUACAGGUUUGGAACGACAUGAGGCUGAGUAAAUGAUGACUGAAUAAAUGUACAUUUUUCUCUGGACUAUCCUUUUAAUUAUGCAUUCCUGUACCUGUCAGUCAUGUCAUAACUUACUCCCAUAUGUUGAGCCGCCCGCCCUGGGCGGAGUCACUGAUGAUAGUGGAGAUCCCACCCUGCAGCAGCACUGAUUGGAUGAUGACAGCCAAGAGCCCCGCAAACAUGAUGCCCACCUGGAAUACAUCCGUCCACACCACUGCCUUCAGACCGCCCUGCCAGGGUGCUGGUUAUUCCCAGUCUGUAGAAGAUCGGCAGGAAAAUCUCAGAGCUCACAGCCACCAUCAGAACAUAAGCAAAGCAGAUGAGGAUGAAGACGGCUCCGUACUGAUACACCUCCACCGGGGUCCCCAGAACGGUGAUGGCUGACAUGAAGCUGGCUGACAGGGACAGAGCCACCGGCACCGCCGUCAUACUCCGUCCACCCACCAGAAAGUCCGCGGAGCUGCUCUGACCUCGUCCGCUGAAGGCGUAGUAAACCCCGAUGCCUGCUGAGAUCACCAGCAUCAAGGUGAAGACCACAUAGUCCCACACACUGAAGGACGCCGCACUUGACAUCUUGGUGCACGUCUGAACUUCUUUAAGAGGGUCUUUUACAAGACCGUUAGAAGCAUCAAGCAUUAUACUGGCCAUCACUGCACUACUGAACAGAUUACUGCGAGAGGUGUGCAGUGAAACUCUAGGGAGAGCGCGACAGGCUCUAAGCACCCUGCUCAGCUUCAAGGAGUCUGCAGCGGUAGUCACUCCUGCCUGCAGAGUUGGUCAGAAACAUCA